rnacentral:sRNA from 1 species
UAGCUCAGUUGGUAGAGCAGUUGACUUUUAAUCAAUUGGUCGCAGGUUCGAAUCCUGCACGACCCACCAAUCGCUAAGGUGGAAGCGGUAGUAAAACGUGAAGGAUAACGUUGCAUCAGCAACGGCGCCGAAGGGCGAGAAGAAGUCGAGUCAUCCUGCACGACCCACCA